GAUGAACGCUGGCGGCGUGCUUAACACAUGCAAGUCGAACGAAGCACUUUUACAGAUUUCUUCGGAAUGAAGUUUUUGUGACUGAGUGGCGGACGGGUGAGUAACGCGUGGGUAACCUGCCUCACACAGGGGGAUAACAGUUGGAAACGGCUGCUAAUACCGCAUAAGCGCACAGUACCGCAUGGUACAGUGUGAAAAACUCCGGUGGUAUAAGAUGGACCCGCGUCUGAUUAGCUGGUUGGUGGGGUAACGGCCCACCAAGGCGACGAUCAGUAGCCGGCCUGAGAGGGUGAACGGCCACAUUGGGACUGAGACACGGCCCAG
rnacentral:rRNA from 1 species